CAGUCACUGGAAAUAGCAAACGAGUUGGGAUUCAUGUUGGAAAAUGCCAGCUGCUUCCUCCGGAGCUCGGCAGCCCUGCGGUGGGGACACGGCUGGGCCUGGCUGGGGCACAGAGCUGGCUGUGCUGCUGGGGGCUCGGGAAAGGGUCCAAGCUCCUCCGAUUCAGACAUGGAACCUUUUGCAAUGUGUUUACAUCUCUCAUUGUGGGUAUAUAUUCUAUUUAAAGGUAUUUUUAAAGAAUAUAAAGUGUAAGCCUGGCUGAAGAGUGAUCCUACAACACGCAGGACUGAGCCCACCCCCUGGUCCAUUCCCAGAGCUGCCCCACUCCGUGGAUCCUUGUGGGAUGCUUGCAGGAACACCUGCCUUCAGGCUGACGGGAGUGCCUGCCCCCUGCUUCAUCAGAAGCCUCACAAAACAAGCCUGGUCCUAAAGCCCUGAGCACUAGAAGUGCACAGCUGAGAGCUGCAACCUUCACUUGGGAGGGUUGCAGGCAACCCCUGAGCUGCCAGAACCACGAGGCACAUCGGACACACCGAAUUUACCGGCUGCAAUUAUUCUUCUGUGACAAGUCAGUGCCUUGAGUUUUGAGGGUCUCGCUGGCCUGGGACUGGCGGUACUUUCCCAAGCCCCCGGGUUUGUGCCUGCCCACCUGCGGGGCAGGUGGCUGCCGAGCGGGGGGCUUUGCGUCAGGCUGUGCCCCGGCUCCAUCUGCUGCUGCGGGAGGCCAGGCAAUUAGCUCCCAGCUGCAUGUCACUCACGGCAACCAACAGAGCUGUUUUUGCAUUGCACCUCACUUGGCAAACACUGACUUGCGGGAAGGCACCUGCAGCAGGGGACAGAAGCAAGACCACAGCGUCUGGGUGUCGGUGCUGGCUCACAAGGAAGCGAAUGGCAGUGCCUGAGGUGCUGGAGGGGACCCACAGCCAUCACCCAGGGACGUGUUCCUUCAGGCCAGAAGUUGAAAUCCACCUCAGAGGCAGCCAAAAGCGAGUGAAGUCGAUGGAGCUGCUGCCAAAAAAGAGGCCUGCGACUGAAGCCAGCAUGGGUGAGGUUAGUCUAAGCCUGGAUUCAUGGCAGCGGAGACAGCCCGUGGCCUGGGACAUCCACGCUGCUGCUGUGCAGAGGAAGUCCAGGACACAGAGAAUGCAGCUGGGAACUGACGCGAGCAACCCUGCCAAGGAGCAAGCUAAACCACGGGCUAUACAGCUACAGGAAAGCAGAUAA
rnacentral:lncRNA from 1 species